rnacentral:rRNA from 1 species
AUUGAACGCUGGCGGCAGGCCUAACACAUGCAAGUCGAGCGGAUGAAGGGAGCCUGCUCCUGGAUUCAGCGGCGGACGGGUGAGUAAUGCCUAGGAAUCUGCCUGGUAGUGGGGGAUAACGUCCGGAAACGGGCGCUAAUACCGCAUACGUCCUGAGGGAGAAAGUGGGGGAUCUUCGGACCGCACGCUAUCAGAUGAGCCUAGGUCGGAUUAGCUAGUUGGUGGGGUAAAGGCCUACCAAGGCGACGAUCCGUAACUGGUCUGAGAGGAUGAUAAGUCACACUGGAACUGAGACACGGUCCAGACUCCUACGGGAGGCAGCAGUGGGGAAUAUUGGACAAUGGGCGAAAGCCUGGUCCAGCCAUGCCGCGUGUGUGAAGAAGGUCUUCGGAUUGUAAAGCACUUUAAGUUGGGAGGAAGGGCAGUAAGUUAAUACCUUGCUGUUUUGACGUUACCAACAGAAUAAGCACCGGCUAACUUCGUG